rnacentral:rRNA from 1 species
UACCACCCUUUUAAUGCUAAAGUUCUAACCUGGUACCUUGAAACAGGUACAGGGACACUGUCAGUUGGGCAGUUUGACUGGGGCGGUCGCCUCCUAAAGAGUAACGGAGGCGUUCAAAGGUUCCCUCAGAAUGGUUGGAAAAUCAUUCAAAGAGUGCAAAGGCAAAAGGGAGCUUAACUGCGACACCAACAAGUGGAGCAGAUAGGAAACUAGGACUUAGUGAUCCGGUGGUACCGCGUGGAAGGGCCAUCGCUCAACGGAUAAAAGCUACCCCGGGGAUAACAGGCUUAUCUCCCCCAAGAGUUCACAUCGACGGGGAGGUUUGGCACCUCGAUGUCGGCUCGUCUCAUCCUGGGGCUGGAGAAGGUCCCAAGGGUUGGGCUGUUCGCCCAUUAAAGAGGCACGCGAGCUGGGUUCAGAACGUCGUGAGACAGUUCGGUCCCUAUCCACCGUGGGCGUAAGAAAUUUUGAGAGGAGC